CCAUUUAGGUCUCAAACUUUAAUUUGUAGUAUUUUCGGACUCCAACUUUUAAAAUUAUUAUAAUCAUGUCGUAUAACCUAAUUUAGUUAAACUAAAUAUCAACGUAUCGCUAACAAAGAAGAGAUGUAGCAGGAUUGUGAUUAAUGAUACAUCAAUAAAUAAGAUGUCACAUUACUUUUACAUCAAUGGUACGUCAAUAUUUAACUAACUAAAUUGAAUUGUGAGAUUUGAUAGUAAUAACUUUGAAAAUUUAAGCUAAAAACUACAAUAAACUAAAAGUUGAGGAUCAAAAUAGCACCGACCUCACAAU
rnacentral:lncRNA from 1 species